UGCAAGUCGAACGAGAACGGGUUAUAGCUUGCUAUAAUUGUCAGCUAAGUGGCGCACGGGUGAGUAAUGUAUAGGUAAUAUGCCUCUUACUAAGGGAUAACAAAUGGAAACGUUUGCUAAUACCUUAUACUCCUUAUUAACUAAAGUUGGUAAGGGAAAGAUUUAUUGGUAAGAGAUUGGCCUGUAUUGUAUCAGUUAGUUGGUGGGGUAAUGGCCUACCAAGACUAUGACGCAUAACUGGUUUGAGAGGAUGAUCAGUCACACUGGAACUGAGACACGGUCCAGACUCCUACGGGAGGCAGCAGUGGGGAAUAUUGCACAAUGGACGAAAGUCUGAUGCAGCAACGCCGCGUGGAGGAUGACACAUUUCGGUGCGUAAACUCCUUUUAUAUAAGAAGAUAAUGACGGUAUUAUAUGAAUAAGCACCGGCUAACUCCGUGCCAGCAGCCGCGGUAAUACGGGGGGUGCAAGCGUUACUCGGAAUCACUGGGCGUAAAGAGCAUGUAGGCGGAUUGAUAAGUUUGAAGUGAAAUCCUAUAGCUUAACUAUAGAACUGCUUUGAAAACUGUUAAUCUAGAAUGUGGGAGAGGUAGAUGGAAUUUCUGGUGUAGGGGUAAAAUCCGUAGAGAUCAGAAGGAAUACCGAUUGCGAAGGCGAUCUACUGGAACAUUAUUGACGCUGAGAUGCGAAAGCGUGGGGA
rnacentral:rRNA from 1 species